UACGUAGGGACCAAGCGUUGUUCGGAUUUACUGGGCGUAAAGGGCGCGUAGGCGGUUUGUCGCGUUGUUCGUGAAAUCUCACGGCUUAACUGUGAGCGUGCGGGCGAUACGGGCAGACUAGAGUACUGCAGGGGAGACUGGAAUUCCUGGUGUAGCGGUGGAAUGCGCAGAUAUCAGGAGGAACACCGGUGGCGAAGGCGGGUCUCUGGGCAGUAACUGACGCUGAGGAGCGAAAGCGUGGGGGAGCAAACAGG
rnacentral:rRNA from 1 species